UUGAUUGCGAAUCGUUGCCUUCAGUGCUGGCCAGCUCGCCUGGCAAGUGCACGUCGGUGCGUUCAUCCAAUACCCUGUGCACCCUUGGCCUCUGCUAGCUUCGGCCGGCAGAGGAAUUUACACACACACGAAUGUAAUGAAAUUUAUUGUCGUGCGCAAGCACUAAUGUA
rnacentral:misc_RNA from 1 species